UGACUCUCGGCAACGGAUAUCUCGGCUCUCGCAUCGAUGAAGAACGUAGCAAAAUGCGAUACUUGGUGUGAAUUGCAGAAUCCCGCGAACCAUCGAGUCUUUGAACGCAAGUUGCGCCCGAGGCCACCAGGCCGAGGGCACGCCUGCCUGGGCGUCACGCCCC
rnacentral:rRNA from 1 species